AAAGUGCAGCAUCAUUGCAUCAAGCUAAAAUGUGUAGGAAAAACUUGGAAUCCUGAACCAACUCGAUGGGAGGUUUGCGGGAUGGUGAGGGACCGACUUAAUGUUCUGGCGAAAAUAAGGCGAAAUUAAUAUCCUUACCAAAUCAGAUCUUUGUUCAUUUAAUUUGGAUGAUCUAAAUUUUGAAAUCAUUUCAGAUUUCAUGAAUCACUAAGCUCCUACCUGGCUCGUCAGUAGUGAGCGACGUGUGUUUCUGUCGAUUGGUUUCCUUUUAGACGUGUCCUUGUCUCUUGGUUCGGGUCAUAACAUCAUUCUUAUCAGCUUCAUCUUGGGAAUUAUCGCUUCUGUCUCUAACCUAAAAUCAGUAAUCACAUCUAUCAGAUCUAGUUGGGUUCAUGAGUGGCUUCCUCAUCCGAAGCUUCAAUUGAGUCAAUCACAGCGGAUCUAGCAAAUAAUUCGUUGCAAGAGGAAUUUGUGGUUCAUGAUGAUGUUGAUAUUCAGGAAGGUGUCCUCAACUGGGAAGCAAGUAUAAUUGCCAAAGUGUUUUGUGAGGACCCUAUGUUUGUUGGAUCUGCAGAGAGAGCAGCGAAAAGAAUUUGGCAAGAUGCAGGAAAUUUCUUCUUCAGUUAUCACGAUACAAACAUGUACUCCCUCCGUUAUUUUUUAAUAGACCAUUUUUUUU